UACGGGGGAUGCAAGCGUUAUCCGGAUUUAUUGGGUUUAAAGGGUGCGUAGGCGGUUUGAUAAGUUAGAGGUGAAAUACCGGUGCUUAACACCGGAACUGCCUCUAAUACUGUUGAGCUAGAGAGUAGUUGCGGUAGGCGGAAUGUAUGGUGUAGCGGUGAAAUGCAUAGAUAUCACGCAGAACUCCGAUUGCGAAGGCAGCGUACCGGCGCCCAACUGACGCUGAAGCACGAAGGCGUGGGUAUCGAACAGG
rnacentral:rRNA from 1 species